rnacentral:ribozyme from 1 species
AAAAAAAAAAAAAAAAAAAAAAAAAAUUUUUUUUUUUUUUUUUUUUUUUUUUUGGUUAACCU